rnacentral:rRNA from 1 species
GACGAACGCUGGCGGCGUGCUUAACACAUGCAAGUCGAACGGAAAGGCCCUGCUUUUGUGGGGUGCUCGAGUGGCGAACGGGUGAGUAACACGUGAGUAACCUGCCCUUGACUUUGGGAUAACUUCAGGAAACUGGGGCUAAUACCGGAUAGGAGCUCCUGCUGCAUGGUGGGGGUUGGAAAGUUUCGGCGGUUGGGGAUGGACUCGCGGCUUAUCAGCUUGUUGGUGGGGUAGUGGCUUACCAAGGCUUUGACGGGUAGCCGGCCUGAGAGGGUGACCGGCCACAUUGGGACUGAGAUAGGGCCCAGACGCCUACGGGAGGCAGCAGUGGGGAACAUUGCACAAUGGGCGGAAGCCUGAUGCAGCAACGUCGCGUGCGGGAUGACGGCCUUCGGGUUGUAAACCGCUUUCGACUGUGACGAAGCGUGAGUGACGGUAAUGGGUAAAGAAGCACCGGCUAACUACGUG